UACGUAGGGGGCAAGCGUUGUCCGGACUUACUGGGCGUAAAGCGCGUGCAGGCGGAUUGGUAUGUGCCGUGUGAAAGCUCUCGGCUUGCCCGGGAGAGGUCGCGGUAGACAGCUAAUCUGGAGGCUCGGAGAGGUUCGUGGAAUUCCCGGUGUAGUGGUGAAAUGCGUAGAUAUCGGGAGGAACACCAGUGGCGCAAGCGGCGAACUGGCCGAGACCUGACGCUGAGACGCGACGGCGUGGGGAGCAAACCGGAUUAGAAACCCCCGUAGUCC
rnacentral:rRNA from 1 species